UAAUACGGAGGAUGCGAGCGUUAUCCGGAAUCAUUGGGUUUAAAGGGUCCGUAGGCGGUCUUAUAAGUCAGUGGUGAAAUCUCCUAGCUCAACUAGGAAACUGCCAUUGAUACUGUAGGACUUGAAUUUUUGUGAAGUAACUAGAAUAUGUAGUGUAGCGGUGAAAUGCUUAGAUAUUACAUGGAAUACCAAUUGCGAAGGCAGGUUACUAACAAACGAUUGACGCUGAUGGACGAAAGCGUGGGGAGCGAACAGGAUUAGAUACCCUGGUAGUCCACGCUGUAAACGAUGGAUACUAGCUGUUUGACGCAAGUUGAGUGGCUAAGCGAAAGUGAUAAGUAUCCCACCUGGGGAGUACGCACGCAAGUGUG
rnacentral:rRNA from 1 species